rnacentral:rRNA from 1 species
AUUGAACGCUGGCGGCAUGCUUUACACAUGCAAGUCGAACGGUAACAGGUUAAGCUGACGAGUGGCGAACGGGUGAGUAAUGCAUCGGAACGUGCCCGGUCGUGGGGGAUAACGCGGCGAAAGCUGCGCUAAUACCGCAUACGAUCUGAGGAUGAAAGCGGGGGACCGUAAGGCCUCGCGCGAUCGGAGCGGCCGAUGUCAGAUUAGGUAGUUGGUGGGGUAAAGGCUCACCAAGCCAACGAUCUGUAGCAGGUCUGAGAGGACGACCAGCCACACUGGGACUGAGACACGGCCCAGACUCCUACGGGAGGCAGCAGUGGGGAAUUUUGGACAAUGGGCGAAAGCCUGAUCCAGCAAUGCCGCGUGCAGGAAGAAGGCCUUCGGGUUGUAAACUGCUUUUGUACGGAGCGAAAAGGUCUCCUCUAAUACAGGGGGCUCAUGACGGUACCGUAAGAAUAAGCACCGGCUAACUACGUGCCAGCAGCCGCAGUAA